rnacentral:antisense_RNA from 1 species
UUCAAUGGCGGGCAGUGCGUGGGAGGGCGCAAGCCCUGCCGGUCCGUCUGCCGGUCUGUCAACCCGCGUACUGUCCGCCACCUUC